rnacentral:tRNA from 1 species
GGAGAAAUACCCAAGUGGUUGAAGGGGCUGGCUUGGAAAGCUAGUAGGCGGGUAAAACCGUGCGGGGGUUCAAAUCCCCCUUUCUCCG